GUGCUCACUUUGGCAGCACAUAUACUAAAAUUUGAAUGAUACAGAAAGAUGAGCACGGUCCCUGUGCAAGGAUGAUGCACAAAUUUGUGAUAGGAAAUUUUUUCUU